rnacentral:misc_RNA from 1 species
UGUUCGAGCGUCAUUACAACCCUCAAGCUUUGCUUGGUAUUGGGCAUCACCGUCCUAGGUGUGCCUCAAAGUCAUUGGCGGUGCCACCUGGCUUCUAGCGUAGUAAUACUUUUCGCUAUGGAGUUUAGGUGAGUGCUUGCCACCAACCCCUAAUUUCAAAGAUUGACCUCGGAUCAGGUAGGGAUACCCGCUGAACUUAA